GACCUCUUAGCUCAGUGGUAGAGCGUGAGAUUCCAGCGUCUGGGAUUUCCUCAAGGUCGUCCGUUCAAUCCGGGCAGGGGUCA
rnacentral:tRNA from 1 species